rnacentral:rRNA from 1 species
AACGAACGCUGGCGGCAGGCUUAACACAUGCAAGUCGAACGCCCCGCAAGGGGAGUGGCAGACGGGUGAGUAACACGUGGGAACAUGCCCAAAGGUACGGAAUAUUCUCGGGAAACUGGGAGCAAUACCGUAUGUGCCCGAAAGGGGAAAGAUUUAUCGCCUUUGGAUUGGCCCGCGUUGGAUUAGCUAGUUGGUGGGGUAAAAGCCUACCAAGGCGACGAUCCAUAGCUGGUCUGAGAGGACGACCAGCCACACUGGGACUGAGACACGGCCCAGACUCCUACGGGAGGCAGCAGUGGGGAAUCUUGGACAAUGGGCGCAAGCCUGAUCCAGCCAUGCCGCGUGUGUGAAGAAGGCCUGCGGGUUGUAAAGCACUUUCAGUGGGGAAGAACAGAUUCGGGUCAAUACCCCGGAGCCCUGACGUUACCCACAGAAGAAGCACCGGCUAACUCCGUGCCAGCAGCCGCGG